rnacentral:rRNA from 1 species
UAUAGGCUAAUUAAGAGCGUAAGGGGGAUACCUUGGCUCUCAGAGGCGAAGAAGGACGUGAUAAGCUGCGAAAAGUUACGGGGAGUGGCACAUACAUAUUGAUCCGUAAAUAUCCGAAUGGGGAAACCCGAUUAUUUGAAGAAUAAUCAUCCAUAUUUAUAUGGAAGCUAACCCGGAGAACUGAAACAUCUAAGUACCCGGAGGAAUAGAAAACAAAAGUGAUUCCGCUAGUAGCGGCGAGCGAACGCGGAUCAGCCCAAACCUAAAUUGUUUCGGCAAUUUAGGGGUUGUAGGACCACAAUAUUUAUUGCUUAAUGAAUUAGAAUCCGUUGGAAAUCGGAACCACAGAGGGUGAUAGUCCCGUACAAGUAAAGAGAGUU